rnacentral:misc_RNA from 1 species
AAGGAUCAUUACCGAGUUUAGGGUCUGACGCCUUUUGGUGUUGGCCCGAACCUCCCAACCCUUUGUCUACUUGACCUACGUUGCUUCGGCGGACCGAGUCCCAGGGCCCUAAACACGCCCUGGGACCGCCGGGGGGAUCAACAUCCCCCUGGACCGUCCGUCCGCCGACGGCCCACAAUUCAAACUCUUGUACUGAACCACGUCGUCUGAACAAAAAACAUUUUUGGUUGUAUAAUCAUAAAUUAAAACUUUCAACAACGGAUCUCUUGGUUCUG